rnacentral:rRNA from 1 species
GCUAGCAGCCAUAUCACCCUGCAACUCCCAACUGGCAACCCUUUGAAACUCAGCAGGUGUGAGCCUGGUCAGUACCUGCAUGGGAGACCUCCUGGGAAAACUAAGGUUGCUGCUGGAA